rnacentral:rRNA from 1 species
ACGGGAGGCAGCAGUAGGGAAUAUUGCACAAUGGGGGGAACCCUGAUGCAGCAACGCCACGUGUGGGUAGAAGCCUUUCGGGGUGUAAACCACUGUCGUGAGGGAAUAAUGCUCGGUCUCGGCCAAGUUGAAUGUACCUCGAAAGGAAGCACCGGCAAACUUCGUGCCAGCAGCCGCGGUAAUACGAGGGGUGCAAGCGUUGUUCGGAAUCACUGGGCGUAAGGGGAGCGUAGGCGGAGACGCAAGCAGUCUGUACAAUACCGGGGCCCACCCCCGGACCGCAGACUGGACUGUGUCUCUUGGAUAGUUCAGGGGCAGGCGGAAUUCCUGGUGUAGCGGUGGAAUGCGUAGAGAUCAGGAAGAACACCGAUGGCGAAGGCAGCUUGCUGGGGACUCAUCGACGCUGAGGCUCGAAAGUGCGGGUAGCAAACAGGAUUAGAUACCCUGGUA